rnacentral:lncRNA from 1 species
AAAAUUGUGGUGUUGACAGAGCUGCUACAUGGUUUUGGGCAAACAAUCAACCCUUUGGUAUCUCAGUUGUUUCAUCUGUAAAAUAGGGAUAAGGUAUGAUACCUGGACUAAUUAAUAUAAUUAUCAUUACUAUAGGAAAAUAAAGUUGAUCACUGAUUUCACAUCUCUUAUCAACACCCAUGAAUCAUUUCUAUCUCCUCUACAUUGAAUCGUUUUUUUAAAAGAAGACUAAAAAAAGAUGAAGACGAAAUCCACAUAUGGAGGCUGGGACGAUACAAUUAGAAUGCUCCAUAUUCACACAGGUCCCCAAUGCCUCCCCAUGGCUUCCGAUACGAAGAGAUUUCUCCCUGCAGAGAAUUCUCUUUUCUUGAACCGAGUGGACAUCAAGCCUCAAACCUCCGAUGCCUCCGAAGAAACUAGCCUCUCGAUAAGUCAUUUCCACCAAGGGCUCUGCGCUUGCCUCCAAAUUACCGCCACCAUCUCCAAAUCGAAACACCGAAGCCGCUGCCAUUUUCCCAUUACCCUCACCUAUCAUAGGAACCAUAACAAUUAGCAUUUUUAGCAGGAUUGAAACUGCUAACACAACUUCUUAUGUCCUACACCAUUAAACUUGAUUAGAAAUCCCUCCACGAUUAACAUUCAUCUCGCCGUAUCGCGCUUGAAGGUUAAUAAGACCCACAGGGUCCUGCGGGAGGGGGAGGGGAGCGCAGGCCGGACCGAGGGGCGGAAGCGGCGGCGGGGAGAGGGAAUUUCCCGUUCCGUCCGCUAGAGGGGGUGCUCCGCGGGGAGCGCGCCGCAGGCCGGCCGAGGCUCGGCUUCCCAGGCUGGCUCGCCCGCGCUUGGGGCUGGUAAGGUGAAGCGACAUUAGUAUUCCUCGUUCUCUCUGCUUCCCUCUCCGUAGGUUUUCGUUUCGAAUAAGCCCCUUCACAAAUGCCAGAAGUCAUUGUUGGCUGGGCCGACGUGUGAUGGGUGGUUGGGGGGAAUGGUGUGGAUUUCAACCUGUGAUAUUAAACUGCUUAAAACAACAUCCCGUCUAAUUCUUCUAAGUCAAGCCUGGGUAAGAUAGAUACAUAACAUGUAUGACCAGAUCCUCAGUUUAAGACCUUCAUACAUUAUGUAGCAGUCUGUGUGUGCUGUGGACGCGGCCGUGGGGUGAGCCGCGCAUGGACGGGAGAGGAAGAGCAGCUACAUUACGUAUAAUGCGUAAAGCAAUGUACCGAGCCUUCAGCACACCAGCUGUUUCUGCUUAG